rnacentral:lncRNA from 1 species
GUCGCCGUCGUGGAAGCCUUCGAAUUUGGAGUCAGCCGCACCUCCAUUGCCACCUCAACAAGCUUCUGUUUUUGGGUUCGACCUCGAUCUGCACCAAGCUCGAAAAAUUUCGGCUCUGUCAACCCAUUAUUGCUCUAAAUCACGCAACAAAUGCGUCCAUUGUUCUGGUCGUACGAGCGCAAAGUUUUUCUGGUUCGUCUUCUUCCCAUUUUUUGGAAAAAUGGUUCAUGGGUUUUAAUGUUAUUGCAUAUUCCAUUCAAAUUAUGAUUUGGGUGUCUCGGAUUUUAAAUUUUAAAUUUUGGCAUGGCUUCUGACUCUAUAUUGUUGGUUGCUUGUAGGUUAUGUCCCAGACUUCAAAUUUUACAAAGUCGAAGCGAUUAUGAGGUGCGGAAACAAUUCACUCAUCUGUUUGGUUCUUAAUUUUGUUUAGGUUGAUUGUUUAUAGCUCUGCAUGUCUGCUGUGUUUUUUUCUUCUAUUACUUUUGUGUGUGGAAUACAUGAGGUUAUGGGUUUUAAUUUCAUCUAAUUAUUUCUUUAUCUUUACUAUGAUUAUGGGACGAGCUAGGCCCUGGCGAGUUUCACAUGUUUCUUCGAUAAGAACUGUUGAAUCUUAAACACAGCUUACUGCAUAUUAAUUGGCAUUGCAUUUUGCAUUGGCAUAAUAAAAUUAGGAAAACAACAAAUUGAUGUUUCAAAUUUUGUUGUUUGGAUAGUAGGAAGAAUAGUUACCUGUUUCUAAGCCUGUGUAGUUAUCUAAGCACUAUCCCAUCUUCUUCUGCAGUUGCCUUUAAUCCUUUUUACACACUCAAAUCCAUUUGCAUAUAUUGAACACAUAGUCACAACUGAUUUGGAUUGGAGUUCAAACACGAUAAACAUUAAAGGUUAAUGAAAUUCUAAUCUAGAGUGUCAUUGAAGUCACUGGACCUAAAUUUUGAUUGUGGUGUAGCCUGUUGUGACAUGUCAAAAGAUCAAUUAGUAGUUGUUAGUUGUACCACUAUACAUUUCAUUUCUGGAAUUUAAUGAAAAUUAUUUGUGAUUAUUGCUUGGAAUUAUAGACAAGAUUUUGAAAAGUUAAUUCCUUUUAUUGCUUCUUGUUCGUCAUUGCAAAUGCUCAUAAAGGAUAUAAGGUGAUGGGUACAAUGUUAGUAAUAAAAGGUUAGUUUGUUAACAGAUUGCUUGAACAAUUGAAUAAUGUUGCAACUCUCCUGCAUAUUCCUGAUGUUCUUUCCUCUUGUUUUUUCGUCAUGCCAUACUUCGUUUUUUGGUUCAUCUGUAAGUUUCUACUGAAUCUUUGAACCAGUUUGGGCAGUUGGUUGUUGAUCUUGCCACCAAAGAACUAUUGCAUUAUACUGACAAGUCAGUGACUUUUGUAUGUACACGAUGCAAUUACUAUCCCAAAAUUGUUCAUUAAGUUGGUGCUUGAUGAUCUCAAUUCUUUGUUUUAUGAGUUUUGCUCCAGGCCACAUUAUGUAAGGGUUAUCUAUUUUCUAAAUGCACGUGAGUGAUUUGAUCAAUUGUGGUCUACAUGUAUUUGCUCCCACAUAUUUUACUGCCAUUCAAGAAGUCUCCAAUCAUCGAGAAGGUAGAGGUUGGUCUUUUUCUUUACUGGCAUUAUAGUUGUGGAUUGGUGUGCACUUAGGAUCAAAUUCUGGCUCUAAAAAUAUUAUCUCACUUGAUUUGUAAUUAUUGAGAACAAAUUUGGCCUCAACACAGGCUAUUUUCUUUUAUGCCUUUUAAGUAAAUAUUCAUGAAUCUUUCACAGUGGGUGAAUCAUUUAUUUUCUUGCUAGGCGAGAUACUAGAAGGAUUUGGUUGCUUACAUGGUGCUUAUAUUUGUAUGAAUUGAUUGUAGAACUAAAUUUUAGAAGCAUGUUUUAGCUCUGCCCUUAGUUUAAUAAUUGGUAUCUUGGAUGUGCAUGUAAAACCUGCCGAAUAAUUUAUUAAUGAUGGUAUCACUAUUUGGUUUGAUUUUGAAAAUUUGAAUUUAUGUUUUUUUUUUAAUAUUUAACCUAUUUGGCACAAUAACAAAAUUGUGCAAACAUGGCUUGGAAAAGUCAUCUAACACAGGUGUCAAAACAAAGGCACAAAUACACCGGAUUGGUACUUAACUGUUUGAGCACAAAAAGUCAUAUUGUGCCCUUUCAUCAAAUGUGACGCCCAUAAAGGGCACAUACAAUAUAAUAGUAGUUGCACUUUUGCCAUUGGUCUAUAGGCACAUAUGUUGGUGCCCUUUGGCCUCAAAGGGCAUAAAUAAUUUAUAGUGCGUAGUAUUGUAGUGUUAUGUCGCGCACAAGUUGACCAAUUACUAAGUUAACUAUGUUUUUAUUGUGAAUGUGGGCAUCUCAACUCACAACCGAGCUCGGUUGGAUGUGUAGAAUAGAUGUGGUGGUGGUGGUAAUGUGCUGUUGACUUUGCACCUGACCAACUGCGGUCGAUGAAAGAACACCUCUCGCCCUAGGGUCCUAGAACCUGAAAAUAAGGCUGCUUAAUUCACUGCGAAGUUCAUGAUCUUUUGCACCAAUUUCGACGACUUCAACUAUAUUCAUGAGUAUAUAAGUGCGUCGAAUCGAUAUCAGGCUGUAUGGGAAAAGAUACUUAAAAUAGAUGAAUGUCUUUAUGGUGAAUGUGGUUCGGCUGUUAAGAUGUCAUACUAUGAAGUGCACAUGGAAGUAACCAAUCUUAGAACACCUCUUUUUACUGGAGAGGUUUUUUACGUUAAGCGUUUUGAGUUGUUUAUUGAGUUGAAAGGGGCCUCUUAUGUUGCAAAACCAUUUCUUUUUAUAGUGGUGGGUUUCAUGGUAACAAGGUUUGCCGAGCUAGAGUCCUGGUAGGACUAUACCUACUUAGCACUCACCUGGAUAUCCUUUGAAUUUCUCUCUUUAAACCCCUUUUUAGCUAAAACACAAUCUCUAUCUAAUCUUGGCUUCUUUGACUUGAACUAAGAUUCUGAACCUAGUCUCCUUAUAUACUUAAUUCAUUCUUAUUUGAUCAGCUAUAGGUUUCGAUUCCUGGAAUAAUUCAAAUUUUACCAAAACCCAUUUUGAUCCAUAAUAGCCAUAAUUCAACUAGGACUUGACCAAGCCACGUCUAAGUCUGAUCCCUUAGUAGUCCCUCUUCCAUCAGAAACCAGUCAAAUCAAUGCUCUUCUGGGCUGGAACCUGAUAGGAGCAUAUUUAUGCGACUUAGUUAGCUUGUUCUUGUGCAUUUAUGUUGUUAUUUCUUAGUUAAUUAUGUAUUUUAAGCUAUUUUCGUGUGUUGUAGGUCCUAAUAACAAAGUUGGCAAGAAAGUGCAUUUUGGUGCAUUUUUGAGCAUUUUUUAGCCAAUAUUGCAUAGUGCAAGCAUGGAGAUGGAUGUUUUUGAAGAUUAAAAGACUAGAAAUCAGCAUAUGUGUGUGUAAGUUGUGGAGCCAAAAAUAUUCUCAAGGCGACAUGUGGAUUUUUUGACAAAAAUGACAAAAAUACCCUUGCAGUACAACGAGGUUCCUACGCGCAAGCAGCGGGCAACCCUCUUUCAACCAAGACAGAAGUGCCCAAAAUAGGUAACAAUUUAAAGUCCAUCUCAUCAAAUCCUUUCUACAAGGUAAUUCCCAAACACAUUCCUUUUAAAUUAUGUUAAUUGGCUAAUUAAUGGGUUUAUUGCCUAAUUAACCCAUUAAUUGUCAAUUAAACCAUCCAUUAUAUCCAAAUAACCACAAAACACAUCCAAUUCAACCCAAAAACACCACAUGGCCGGCUAUCCCCAUUCAAAACCUAAUGCACCUCCCUUUUCCUAACCUUUUUCACUUUUCUCCAUUUUAUUAUCCCAUUUAUACAAAUAAUCAAUUUUGUAACUCCUAAUUAAACCUAAAUUAAACCCAAAAAACCCUAGCCACCUCCUAUCCCUAUAAAUAUACUCUCAUUCUCACCAAAAAAAGCCAAUUCCAACACUUUGGCAAAAAUCCAAAAUACUCUAAAUACUAUUUCUCUCUAAAAUUCUAACUUUGGCAUAAGAGGUUCUUCGGCCAAAGCCCCCCCCAUUCAUCGUGGGCGCGUGAGGCUUUUGGCCUUAACCUAAGGUGCUAGUUGUUUUGUAGGUGCAAAAUAGUCCAAGAUCGAGGAGGAGAAAAUUUGCAUCCACAAAUUGGUGCUUUCAUUGAGAGUUGAAAUCCAUACUCGUAGAAGACUCUCGCACAAAAAGGUUUUUUCUUUAUUUUCUAGUCCAUUUGAAUAUUUUUCAUACGUUCUUAUUAUUAGAAUUUUUUACUUGCAAAGGAUCUUUUAUAAAACGUAUAAGCAAAAUAUAAUGGCUAGAAAUUUAGAAAAUUCCACAAGUGAAAAUUCUAAUGUUCAAGAAAUGGGAUUGCGGAGAUCUGUGAGGCUAAAUGCGACAAUAAGUGGAGCAGCACCACCACCACGAGUUUCCACCAUGGGAACCACCACGGUGGCUACCUCGGUAGCCACCCGUGGCGAGGUCCAUGGUGCCUUCAUCACGGCUCGAGCCGUGCCAUCCAAGGCUCACGGCACCAAGGCCAUUAUCCAAGUCGUGCCAUCCAAGUUUGCACAGGCCCGGGCCCAAGCCUCACAUUCGCAUGCAUCACAUACUAAGCAGCCUGCUCCCACCAAGCAACCUGCUCUCGCGGCCCAACCUGCUCCCGCCAAGCAACCUGCUUUCGUGACCCAGCCUGCUCCCGACGAGCAACCCACUCUCGACGAGCAGCCCAUUCUCACGGCCCAACCUGCUCUUGCCGAGCAGCCUGCUCUCUUGACCCAACCUGCUCCUGACAAGCAGCCCACUCCCGUGGCCUAGCAGCUCCAGUCGAGCAGCCCACUCUCACGGCCUAGCCUGCUCCCGUGGCUUUCCAAGCAGCCCAAGUCGGCCCAAGACUAUCUCAACCAUCCGGACCUACCAUCGAGCCGGGGGCAUUCUUACCACAUUUUUUUGCGGAUUUGACAUUUCCCAACUCAAAUCUCGCGCUCGGAGUCUACCACCAUUCCACUGCCCAAGGAGGCACAUUCCUUCCAAGCUCUUCCAAUCCAAAUGGCAAACAACACUUGUCUUGACAAGUCAUAGAGUUGACGAGCCCCCUUGCAUAACAGACAGCCUUGGUGAAUCAACUUUUGCAACGCAUCGGGAUCCAACGUGCCCCGGACGAGGUAUCCCGAAGUAGGACAAGGGCAGACAGACCUUUCCAGUAGCGUCCCAGCAAGCGGCCACUCGACCAGCCACGAGCAGAACGUUUGGGAAGUAUACAUUCCCAUCUUAGCGCGCGGAGGAGCAUGCACUCUCGACUAGGCCCAUGGAUGAACAUACAUUCACGGUUGGGGUCGUACUCUGAUAGUCAACAUGAGCAACCUUCCGGGCAAAGUGUCCAUUCGGAGCUAAGCCCACAAGGAGCAUCCUCCACCUCACAUCAAAGUAGGCAGCACGACAGACGGAGAGAAGUAGUCACUCAAUCCAGCUCAAGUUCAACCAACAGCCUGCGAAGAACUCGCUCGCCUGCUAAGAACGCACCAUAUGCACUGUAUCCGCGGCAUAGACGAGCCAAACACCUGGAAGAGCAGCCUAGACCAGCAAGUCAUGGCUGAAGGCAGCCGAGAGCUCAGCUACCCCAACAAAGGCAAAUUCAGGAAGAAGUAGAGAGACUUUUGACCAAGCGAUUGCAUGAUUUCCAACGUAACGAGGUCACUGACGAGGCACUUCGACGGAACAUGAUCAACAUAAGCAGGUCACCCUUCACGGAUGAGAUCAAGCAGGCAGAGCCUUCAUGCGAGUUCAGCAUGCCACAUUUCACAUCUUUCAAAGGGGAUGAAGACCCGGAGAGACACAUAAAGCGCUACCGAAGCGCAAUGAUCCUUUAUCGAAACAACGAUGAUCUCAUGUGUAAGAUAUUCACCACCACUCUACAAGGCGAGGUGCAAGAUUAGUUCUACACCCUGCCGCCACAAUCCAUCCGGAAUUUCUACGAACUUUCUUUGGUUUUCACCAAAGAAUAUUCAUCCUAUCGCUCGAUCAAAAAGAAGUCUGACCAUUUGUUCGACGUCAAGAAAAACCCAAAGGAGUCGCUUUGCGACUAUGUGAGGAGAUUCAAAGUAGAGAAGGCAAAAAUAGUCCGAUGCAACGACUCGAUAGCUAGAGCAGCCUUCUAAAAAGGACUUCCAGCAGACCACCCGCUAUUCGAAAAAUUGAUCAUGAAAGAAGAUCUAACUCUGGCAGACUUUUUUGCUUUGGUAGAGAAGCCUGCACUUUGGGAUGAGGCUCGCCAAUGCACAUUCAAGGACUUGAAGAAGUACCCGACAUCACCUCCAUAGAAGCAGCGAAGGACUUAUUCACAUGUUUGACGGUAUCUAAAGUAGCAAUAAGCUCUACCAUCAUGCGAGAAAAGAUGGGGGCCCGACUACCUGUAUUCUACAGUUACCUGUAUUCUACAGUUCAAAAGCUCUCCUUGAUGAUAUUAAAAAUUCAAAAGCUAACUUUGGCGAUAGUUGUUGUAACCCGGAAGCACAAGUUUUACUUUCAAAUGCAUGCAGUCAUCCUUAUGACGUACUAUUCUACCCAAUCCAGACGCGCGACGAUAAAGGCAUAGACCCCGGCGGAUGUAAAGUUUUAUGAUGAACGCAACACUGGAAGGACACACUCAGAAGCAAGUUUUGUCCUCGUCACCCUAAAAGAUUCUACAUAGGAGCAACAUGUACCGGCAUUUGAGUACCACUUCUUGUUGCGCACCACACGGCCCUAGCCGACCCUUGCUCAAUGAUUCAACUCUAGAGUGGCCCAAUACCGGCAGUUGAGCAUCUCCUGCUGCGUAUGACAUGGCCCCAUCUCCACAGCUCCCUACUGUGCCUUCACGCCGAGCCUAGGUGACGCAACAGAACGGCCCAAUGAUGCCUCAGAAGUAGCCGAGCACACUCCAGUCGCACCUACUCCACCUGAUGGAGACUUCUGGCAUUUGCAUGUCGACGGCGCAGAAAAGCCCUCAUCACUGCCUGCAGAGAAAGAUCCAAAAAGACGAAUCUCAUCUGGGAAGGUCUGUACAAGAUCAGCAGAGUAGGCGACAAGAGUAAUUACACCCUCGCCACCAUGAAACGGCAAAAAGAUCGAAAAACAGUGGAUGGCCUACAAUAUGAAGAAGUACCAUGUGUGACCUCCCGCUACAUCAAAACGCGAAGACUUAAGAAGCUCGACGGGCACCACCUCACAAGCUGAUGACUAUCCAGUUGUUAUGCAGUUCCUACCUUACAGCUAAAGUUCUCGUUCGUUUCACUUGUUUUUCAAUUAGGAAUUAAGAAGUAAUCACAACUUGGCUUGGCUGCAUGCUUACAACAACUAAUCACCUUUGCACUUCAAAAGAAGACUGCGCCCUUCUUAGGGACUCAUCGCAGGAAUUGCGCCUCCCGAGGGACCAACCAUGCUCUUCAGUAUGAGAGGGUAAACUAAUUCCCCGACACCCAUAUGGGUUAGCUCUCCAAGAUGGGAGGAUAAACUUUACAUUCCGAAUAUCCAGAUGUGGAUGAGCCUGGCUGCCCUAGUAUAACUAGAUGCACGAUGGCUUGCGCCGGGAUUCCUAGAAGUAGCCACAAUGGUCUUUUUCAAGGCUUAGCUAAUUGAAGGAUUUUGGGUCUCUUGGCCUAAUCCGUUGGAAACCGGGCCCUAGAUACGGAGGGGGCACAUUAUGCAGUACGCCUUACAGACGGCUGCCCUGGAACCCUAAAGCUGCUAUCGAGUGCACUAAGGUAGCCUACGGAUUCCGGAAGACUGUCUACGGCUUGCCCUUCGAGCAGUAAAGCCGCACUAGACUUUUACAACCGCACAUUCUUGUGAAAGGUUAAACAAGCUAGCACCCAUAUACGAAGUUUUAUCCACUGCCGACAUGCUACGUAGUCGAUAAGCUUCACCUCUGCCAAACGCGGAACAACCUACACCAAGUCCUAAAGUGUUGUGAUACUUGCUACGCAACCUACGGAAUUGGAGAAAGUCAAGUUAACAGCCAGGUGGUUAUGCGGACUUGUCUGCUUUUGUAAGUAAGGCAUCCGACUGCCAACCCUAUGGCUAACAACUUUGCAAAGUUCUACACCAACACCUACGGCUGCAUAGGCUACGCGGGCUUGUCUGCUUAUAAAAAAGUAGCAUGCCUGCUACUGGUCUAUCAAGUUUAAAGGUUAGGGCAUGAACAAAAGAAGCGAAGAUGAAGAAAAGCGAAGGAAAACAUAUUUAUUAACAACUAGCAAAGGCCCAAUGAGUUCAAGCAAAACAAGAGCUACAAGAAAAAACAAAUAAAAUCCUAAAGGCUAUCUAAAAGACUAUAGCAGCUUGGACAUCCCACGACUACUCGGUCGCCACACCUUCAGCAGCCACGACGCUCUUAGCAGCGGUAUCAUCUGACGCUUCACCCCCGGCUGCCCUAGCCUGGGCACUAACUUCUCCAACUACUUCACCAAUGGAAGCCUCAAAAGUAAAAUCAAGCAAGUCUUCUGGAGAAAUAAAGAAGGUCUCAAAACCCCGAGCCUAGCCUUUUCACCUUUCAGUUGCUUAUCCUCCUUGAGCAGACCAAUAUGGAUGCUCUGCAGCUCAUCCACUUCCUUCUUCAGACUUUCGUUGAUCUUCAGUAUGCCUUGAAGUUCCAACACUUGGGGUUCAAGCCUAUCGAUGAUUCUCUUGAAAUGGAUCACUUAGUUAUAAGCAGCAAUCAACUCUUCAUUCUUUAUAGCAGAACGAAGCUCAGAAAUGACAUGCUUAAGAUCUUGAAUCUAAGGUAUGUGACAUCCGAUCUUCUUCUCUGCACUUUCAUGCUUAACUUGGAUCGCGUCAAGCCUAGUCUUCAAGUCAACGAUCUCUUGGCGAGCGGUCUCAAGCUGCAAAGAAGUGGGGGCAGAAAUAUUAAACCCUUUCAAAGUAAUGAGCUCAGAAUCUGCCAUAGUAUUUGCCAUCUCCUUAGCAGCCUUGUUAUAUCUGCAUCAUAGUAAGCAAAGCAGUUCUUCUAUAUUGGGUCGUAUGCUUCACAAACAAGCUUGAGCAAACACCUUUCUGACGCCAUCAACAAACUUGGCACAAGCGUCCAUGUUUUCAAGAGAUCUGGUUUCAAAAGCACAUAGAUCUCAGCAGCCUCCCCAGAAGCAGGCUUAGUGGAUUUCUCACAGCUGCCUACGCGAGCAGUCUCCUCAUUCCCAGUAGGCGAAUCAGUCUCAGCAGCAUAAGGAAUGGGCCUUGGCACCACUUUAGCAACAGAGUCCACCUUAUCGCUCUUCAUAAUAGCAAGCCUCUCCAAUGGUGAACCAGACUUAGCUCCCAACAGACGUCUUGGUACAAAAUUUGGUACUAGGGGCAUGACAGGACCUUUAUGCCGAACAAUCCUAUUAGCAAUCGUACUAGCCAUUCUUGACAUGGCAUGUGCCACAUGCUCAGAUCUAGCAGCCUUAUUUUUCGUCCCCUUGGAAAAAGUCAAGUUAAUCACAAGCCUGAAGGCAGUCGACGAACCCGCGCGAGUGAAAGAAGUCUUUGGUUUUUCUCAGCCGGCUUCUUUUGAGCAGGCAGGGAAUAUUCUUUUUUCCACCUUCACUUGUAGCAGGAUCCACAACAGUGAUUGGACGAGCCAAUGCAUCCGCCUUGAUCCUAUUCACUUCGUAUUUUGGGAGCAGCCCAUGUUUCUCCUGACGAAGAGAGUUAAAGUAGCCAACGUCAUUCGUGGUACCUAGCAGGGGAGUUAAACCCAACAUUCCAGCAGCUCAUGAGGCCUGCAACCUCUUCAUUUCUCUCAAUCACCGGCCUAACUCGCAUCGUGUCCAAAAGCCUAAAAGGACAUGAGCCAUGUGACUCGCCUAGUACUGCGCCCCAGCGCCACAAUCCGCAGCCCCAGCCUCACAAGCUGCCCUUGGUUCUAGCCAAGUCAAGCAACUUAAAGCAGUGGUCCCUACCAUAAUACCUCAUCGGCCCAUGCCGAGCUGACUCCUGGCCCAUGCCAGCCGACGUGCCGCACCACCCCGACGGCUGCCCCGCGGUAGCACCAUCCAAGAAGAAGACAAGGAAAAUUAAUUUUUUCUUACCUCAGUGUGGCACGAAGAAGACAAAGAAAGCAACGAAAGACGGUCAUUCGCACAGGCAAGAUGUAAAAGAUUGCUAGAGGAGGGGGAACAAAUAUCCUCUAAGCUAUAUCUCUCUUGUAGGGUAGAAUAAAUCACUCUCCAAAGUUAAUUUAAUAACCCACUUAAGGUGGACUUAAAUAGGCUUUGAGAGAAAUUUAUUUCCUUUUCCUAGAAGGAUCUAAUUUCCUAUUAAAGAGAGAAUCUACAUCAAAAUAGGAAGCAGCCCUAAGUUUCCUAAAGCAAGAAGAUCUAUACACCUGCUGCCCUUUUCUGUGAGCAGCCUAACAGGUGUGGGGGCAUUUGUGGAGCCAAAAAUAUUCUCAAGGCGACACGUGGAUUUUUGGACAAAAGGACAAAAAUACCCUUGCAGUACAACGAGGUUCCUACGCACAAGCAGCGGGCAACCCCCUUUCAACCAAGACAGAAGUACCCAAAAUAGGUAACAAUUCAAAGUCCAUCUCAUCAAAUCCUUUCUACAAGGUAAUUCCCAAACACAUUCCUUUUAAAUUAUAUUAAUUGGCUAAUUAAUGGGUUUAUUGCCUAAUUAACCCAUUAAUUGUCAAUUAAACCAUCCAUUAUAUCCAAAUAACCACAAAAUACAUCCAAUUCAACCCAAAAACACCACAUGGCCGGCUAUUGAUAGACGCAUAUUUAUGCGACUUAGUUAACUAGUUUUCUUGCAUUUACGUUAUUAGUUCUUAGUUAUUUUAGUACUUUAAGCUAUUUUCGUGUGUUUGUAGGUCCAAAGGGCUAAGGUAGCAAGAAAGUGCAUUUUGGUGCAUUUUGGAGCAGUUUUGAGCUUGGAAUGGAUUACAUAUGAUAUGAGCAAGAUGGAUGGACGAAUUUGAAGUCAAAUGAGGAUAGAAACAUGCUAAAAAUGUGGUGAAACAAAUACAAAGUGCAAGAAGAGAUAAAUUUCUAGAAGGAUUGGCCAAAACUUCACUAAAAACCAUGCAUACCUCAUAAAAUUCAUCAAUGCCGUGGCCUUCCCUUUGUUUCACUUCCACCAGAUUUUUUAGUGAUGAUGCAAUGCCUAUCUCACCAUGACAUGUGAGUGGAUGAUGCAAUGCUUAAAUCACCAUGACAUGUGAGUGGAUGAUGCAAUGCUUAAAUCACCAUGACAUGUGAAUGGAUGACUCAAUACCUAACCCACCAACAAUUCCCACUCUUUGCCAUGCUCACCUACUCAAUUCCACCAAAAUUUUGUGUUAAACAAGUCCAUCCUUUUCCUAUAAAUACCAUGGUAGCAACCUCAUUCAAAUCAUCAAAAAAUUAACCAUUCUCCAAGCCUUUCCUUGCCUCUCCUACAUAUCUAAACCCCUUCCCAUCCAUUCCUCAAAAUAACCAACCCUUCAACAUCAUUCCAACCUUGUUGUUGCGGCAAAGAGAAGGAGAAAAGUCCUUGGACGCGCUUGCUAUCCAACAUGGAUCGUUGGAACGUUUAGGUGCUUUCUUUCCUUUGUUUUUCAAUGUUUAAAUUUGUUUAUCUUUGUUUUGUAAUAAUGAGGAACUAAAACCCCCUUAGCUAGGGGGGAAUUCGAAACACAUGUCCUUGCUUGCAAUAUGAUUUAAUUACUUUUAAUUGCGUUUCAUAAGUUAUGAAUUCAAUUUACUUAUCCGUUCGUAUAAAAACUGAUUUAUGUAUGUUGAUUGAGGGUCGACACUUAGUUUGCAUGCAUGAAUUUGAUGCUAGAAUAUAAGGGAGUUUCACCUAAUUGUCAUGAACUUAUAUUCACAAGUAGUGAAGGUUGCUAGUCACAAUCGCGUUAAGUAAAAUCUUGGCAAGAGUAACAUGCGUAUUCCAUAGUUAUGAAUGCCUCGUCAAUGCUUAUGAUUUUCAUAGAACUUAAUGAUUCUUGCUUGUAUCUCUAUUAUGCAAUUCAUGUAGGGAACUUGUGAAGAAUGCUUUGGGUUGUCGUAUGCAAUCAUCCAACUCAAUAAAAGUAGGAAAAUCUGAGGGUUAAUUUAAGCGUACCUAAUUAACUUGGGGCAUUGAGAAUUAAUAAGUUAUUGAAAUGCAAUUGGAAAUCAUUUUGUAUGCAAGCGAGACAUGUGUGGAGAAGAACCCCUUAGCUAGCCUUCCAUCCAUUUAUUUAAACCAAAUUCAUUUUAAAACUUGUUUUGUUUUCCAAAGUUUAUGUUUUGUUUCUAAAUUCAUCAAAUCCAAAUCCCCCUUUACUUUUAAAGUCUUUUAUUUACAUUUAUAACUUUGUUUUUAUGUUUUUUGAGAGGAUUUAGCAAGCCCUCCUAAUCCCCGGCCUAGAACGAUACCCUACUUACACCUAUACUACAAUUGUCAAAAAGAGGGUUUAAUUUGUGUGUCAAGUAAUUCUCACACCAGCUAUCCCCAUUCAAAACCUAAUCCACCUCCCUUUUCCUAACCUUUUUCACUUUUCUCCAUUUUAUUAUCCCAUUUAUACAAAUAAUCAAUUUUGUAACUCCUAAUUAAACCUAAAUUAAACCCAAAAAACCCUAGCCACCUCCUAUCCCUAUAAAUAUACUCUCAUUCUCACCAAAAAAAGCCAAUUCCAACACUUUGGCAAAAAUCCAAAAUACUCUAAACAUUAUUUCUCUCUAAAAUUCUAACUUUGGCAUCAGAGGUUCUUCGGCCAAAGCCCCCCCAUUCAUCGUGGGCGCGUGAGGCUUUUGGCCUUAACCUAAGGUGCUAGUUGUUUUGUAGGUGCAAAAUCUUCCAAGAUUGAGGAGGAGAAAAUUUGCAUCCACAUAAGUGUAUUGACCUACAACCACAAACAUCAUAGCUGCCAUGUGAUGACAAAAAAUGUGUUGAUUGCUAGCUAAAAUAAAUGAACAAUGAACAAGGCAACAUGGAACACACAUGGAUACACAAACACAACAAGAAACAUGGCAACAGUUGGAUGGGCAGAAAAUGGGUGGAUUGUUGGCUGAAAUAAUGAAGAACAUGUGUGUGCAAAUGCAAAGGAAAAACACACACACAUGGGCAAGCAACACACACACAUGGGCAAAGAAAACAGACACGGCAUGGACACAAAUGAAGGCAUGAAUGACAGAAAGAACAUGUGCUUGUAUUGGAAAAAUGGAUAACAUCCAUUGACAAAUUUCCUUCAGAAACACUGGACAAUUGGAAUUGCCAUUAAUUUUCCAUCACAGGUUUCACUUAAACACCCAUCUUUCCCUUAAAUCCAUUGCCAAAACAUCAACUAGAAGUUUUCAUCACCUGAACACAAAAUUUACCAUCUCAUGUACCUCCAACAAUUACAAAUUUACACAAUCACCAUUAAUAUGCAAUUCCUUUUUAGCCAAAACAACUUGGGGAAUCCAAAAUUGACAAACACCCAUUCACACACACACACCACAUUUCACCAACUAAUAACACUUAAGAAUUCAUGAAAGCACACACAUCCACAUUUUUUACCAUUUCAAAACAUCUUGAACCAUUUUGCACACCUUUUCACAGAAUGAACAUUCACCAAUGGACCAUAAGGUUCACACACACAUUCCAGAAAUGGGCACAUUCCACAACAUUCCCAUUUCUUCAAUCCAUUACACUUUACAAAUCCAAAUUCCUUCUUUCACAAUUCAAACACUUUCAAAUGACCUUCCAUUUUCAUUCAAUUCCAUUACAUUCUUUCAUUAUAAUUCAUAACAAACCCACUACACCCACUGAUUACCACAACUCACUACUACACCAUUACUACAACUCCAUACACUCCUCUUCAUAGCCUAUAAACAUACAUCCUUUCAUAAUUUGGGUCUCCAAGACUACAUUCACACCAUUUCAUUUUGAUUGGAAUGAUCCAUUUUUCAUCUAGCCAAAGCAUCUCACCAAUCAUACACUUUCACUCUUUCAUUGCCUCCAUCCAUUCAUGUAGCCAUUACAUCUCACCAUUACACUUACACUUUCAUUCCUUGCAAGCACAUCCAUUCAUCCACAUCCCACAAUCCCAAAACACCAAUUCCAUCAUUCCCAUUUCCCUUCCCUUGGCCGAGACAUUCACCAAUUCCUAAAUACAUUCAUAACCUUUCCAUAUAUCCAUACACAUCCUUAGACACUUGUGCUGCAACAAGGUGGUGAAAACGAAGGUCCUUGGCGUUUCAAGCUUGAAACUUUGGAGCAUUUUAGGUGUACUUUGUUCUUGCUUUCAAUGUCUACUUUGUUAUUUUCUGAUUUUGUUGCAAUUAUGAGUAGCUAAACCCCUAUUUAGUCAGGGGGAAGUUUGAAGCCAUGAACAUGCUUGAGAUAUGAAUUGAUUUCUUCCAAUUGUGAUUUGAUAAGUUGUGAUUGCAAUUCAAUUAUCUAUUUUAUUCAUAACUGAUUCUUGUAUGUUUAUUAAGGAUGCAUACUUAGUUUUCAUGCAUGAAUUAGAUGCUAGAAUAUAAAUGAGUUUCACCUAAUCGUUACAAGUUUAUAUUCAUGAGUAGUGAAGGUUGUUUAUCACAAUCUCGUUAAUUGAAUUCUUGGCAAACGUAUCCUGCAUUCAUAGUUACAAUUGCCUCAUCAACACUUAUGAUUUUCACUAAACGUAAUGAUCUCUGAUUGUAUCUCUAUUAUGCAUUCAUAUAGGGGACUUUUAGAUAAUGAUUUGGGUUGUCGCAUGCAUUAAUCCAAUUCAAUGAGUAAAGGAAAAUUUGAGGGUUAAUUUGUGCAUCACGGUUAAUCUGGGGUGUUAAGCAUCAUAGUUUAUUGAAAAGCAAUUGGAAAUCAAUUCAUGUACAAGUGUGUCAUGUGUGAAGAACGGACCUCUAGCUAAUCCAUCCAUUUCUUAAAUUCACUUUACAAUCUGUCUAAUUUUAUAAGUUGUUUGUUUGUUUUGAAUUCGUUAGAACCAAAAUCCCCCUUUUACUUUGUUGUUUCAAAGUGUUAAAUUUCUAUUUCGUUAGUGUUUUUGAGUGUUUUGAUUCAAACCAAUACACUAAAUUCAUCCAAAGUUGUGUUAGAGUCAAAUCUGCCCAGUAAGUGUUUUUAGGCAAUUUUGAGUGUAUUUAAAUUGUUUUGCGUCUUUAGAAUCUAUUUUGAGUCCCUUGAGUCUAUUCAAACGUUUUUUACUUUGUUUUUAUGUUUUUGAGUAAGUUUAGAGGUUUUAGCAAGCCCUCUUGAUCCCUGGUUUAGAACGAUCCCUACUUGCAUUUAUAUUACAAUUUGACAACAAGAGGGUUUAAUUUAAGUGCUUAACUUUCAUGGCACCAAAUUUUGACGUCGUUGCCGGGGAUUAGCAAUUUUGCUAAUCCCUUGUUAUUUCUUUUUGUUUAUUUUCAUGUGUUUUUGUUCCUAGUUGAUGACUUUACUUGUUUUCUUGUUUUAGGUGGUUUAUGACUCGAAGUUCUCAACCUAUUCAUAAGCACAUCCGUGACUUUGACGACGAUUUUGAACAAACUUUGAGACGAGCAAGGAAUCAACAAGAACCCCAACCAUAUCAACCUGCACCAGAUCUUGGAGAAGACAAAGUAGAAGAGCAAGAGGAGCCCACGGCACAGGUUGUAGAGGAAGAUCCCAACAUGGCAGCGGACAAUCGAACAAUCAAGGAGCUUUCCGCUUCAGGACGGACGAGUUCGAAUUGAAAUCAAGUUUGUUGCAUCACAUUCCUAAGUUCCACGGGAUGUCCAUGGAAGAUCCUAAUAGACACUUGAAAGAGAUUGAGGUUGUUUGCUCGAGUAUGACCCCUGUGAACGUUGAUGGGAGCAUUCUGAAAAUGAAGGCUUUUCCCUUUUCUCUCUUAGAAAAGGCUAAAGAUUGGUUGUAUGAGCUAGCCCCCGGAACUGUCACAUCAUGGGACAGUAUGAAACGGGCAUUUUUGGAGAAGUUUUUCCCAACUUCUCGAGUCAUUCUACUACGCAAAAAGAUUAGUGGCAUUCAGCAAAACCAAGGUGAAUCAUUUCUCACUUAUUAUGAGCGUUUUAAAACCCUUGUUGCUUCAUGUCCACAGCACCAGAUGAAUGAUGAGCUUCUUAUUCAAUAUUUCUAUGAAGGGCUUCUACCAAUCGAACGCCAAAUGCUAGACACCUCAGUGGGAGGAGCUUUGGUGGACAAAACACCCAUGGCUGCCAGGACUUUAAUUGCUAACCGAGCAUUGAAUGCUCAACAAUAUGAAUGCGUUGGUCAAAGGGACACCCCACGGCAGCAAGUGAAUGAGGUAAGUUCCACAUCCGACAUUCAAUCGCAAUUAGCUAAUCUUACUUCCAUUGUGUCUCAGAUGGCCGAAGGAAUGAGGAUGAAAGAACCAAGUGUAUGUGGUGUGUGUUCUAUCCAAGGACAAGCCUCUGAAAAAUGCCCGCAAUUGAUUGAAAAUUGUGGAUGGGAAAGUGCCAAUGCAAUUGGAUUUCAAGGCCAAAACCAGCCAAGGAACGAUCCAUAUUCUAAUACGUACAAUCCAGGUUGGAGUGACCAUCCAAAUUUCAGGUGGAGGGAGCCCCAACAACCCCAAUAACAAGGAGGCUUUAGGCAGCAACCUCUGGGCUUCUAUACCAAGCAAUACGCACCAACACAAGCCCCACAACAACCUGCCAAAAAUACCUCAGGUACAUCUUUAGAUGAUGAGACACUUCUUAAGUUACUCACCAAUUUGUCUCAGGGGCAUGAAAAUCAAGCCAAAGCAAUGCAAAACCAAGGAAAAAAGGUGGACCAAAUGGAGAAGCAAAUUAGGCAGAUUGCGGAGUUUGUAGGAUAGUUCAGAGAGCAAGGUAAGUUGCCUAGUUCAACCAUUGUCAACCCGAGUGGAGGAUUCGAAUCUGCAAAAGCCAUAAGUUUGCGAAGUGGAAAACAAGUUGGAUCUGAUCUCCAACCGUCCAAUUCACAUUCCAAUGAGGUUGAAGAGUUGAUAAUUGAAUAGGAGGAGCAAAGCACCCCCACGAAAAGGGUGGAAACACCUUUGCUGCAGGCCCCAAAAGCUCAUAAACCAUCCAAUUCGGCCAACAAAGGUAAGGAAGUUCCAAUUUUGAUUAAUUAUAAUGUUGUUCUUCCAAUGUACCCUUUCCUCGUAGGUUUAUGCAAUCAAAGAAGGAGGAGGCUAAAAAGGAUAUUUUGGAAACGUUUAGAAAAGUUCAAGUUAAUAUACCACUUUUGGAUGCAAUUAAGCAAGUUCCAAGGUAUGCCAAGUUUUUAAAAGAACUUUGCACAACUAGGAAGAGAAUUUCGAGCAAGAAGGUUUUCAAGGUAAGUGAAAAUGUCUCAGCUGUUUUACAACUUAAACUGCCCACUAAAUGCAAGGAUCCGGGAAGUUUUACCAUUCCUUGUGUAAUUGGUAAUACUCGUUUUGAAUCGGCCAUGUUAGACUUAGGUGCAUCUAUAAAUAUUAUGCCUUAUUCAAUCUAUGCAUCAUGCACUUAGGCGAAUUGAAAAAUGAUGGUGUGAUUAUACAAUUAGCCGAUCGUUCUAAUGCCUAUCCAAAGGGAGUUUUGGAAGAUGUUUUAGUACAGGUCAAUCACUUAAUCUUUCCGGCGGAUUUCUUCCUGCUUGAAAUGGACGAGUCGGACCACUCCCCUACAUUGCCCAUCCUCCUUGGACGGUCAUUCAUGAAAACGGCUCAAACCAAGAUUAAUGUAGCCAAAGGAUCAGUAACUAUGGCAUUUAGUGGUGAUGUGAUUAGCUUUAAUAUUCCUGAAUCUGUUGAGAAUACUAAUGAUGUUCGUUCUUGUUGUGCCAUUGAUGUAAUUGAAAAUAUAGGGCAAAAACGUUCAACACUAGUAAAAAAGAAAGUACCUCGAACCACCAUCGAGAAGGAAAUUGGAGUGAACAACAAGGAGUGCACGACCACACCUUUCAAAACCCCAAUUCUGACCUAGAGCAAUCCUUGUGCAUUUAUUGAUAGUGCUGCCACUUCAUUGCAGCACAUUGGUACGUCACCUAACCCAAUUUCAAUUCCCAUUUCAACUAAUAGGUUGUUACCUUCUAUGAUGCAGGUACCUAAUCGAAUGCAAGGUAGUAGGGAAGUUUACAUCGAUUGUUGGAAGCAACACACCAAAAUCAGGAAAGACUACUAUCCCGUUCCGUUCAAGGAUUCAAUGUGUGAACACUUUGAGGAGCAUUUCGUGGAGAAUGUACCCCUCCAUGCCGUGGGCCUUGUACAAGCUUAAAUGGAGGUAUCGUCCAACUGGAAGAUGUUAAAGCAAGCGCUUCUUGGGAGGCAACCCAUGUAUUCAAAUAAGGAAGAUUUUUGAAUUGCUCCACAAUCAGUUUUGCGUUUCUAAAAACCUUCCUUUUUCUUUUAUUUUGCCAUGAUUGUCAUUUUUAUUUGUUGCUUGUUUAAUUGUUUUUGGUGUGGGUUUAUUUUUGAAACACUGACAGUUAUGCAAGGUAUUUUUACAUUCAUAAAAAAGAAAGGAACAUUAAGCAGAUAAAUACAAGAGAGACCCUUCACAAAGGCUGCUUAGGAGAAAUCUCAGUAGUUGACGGAGCCUCAGCAGUCGACGGAGCCCUAGAAGGAGGAGGCAUCGGAGGUUGAUCAUUUGGAGCUUCAUUACACGGUACAGCCCUAGAAGACGAAGGCAAAUGCUGUUGGAACAAACCCACAAACCUCUGAUGAUCAAGUAAAAUCUGACCAUCAGAUUCUUGCAUCUGGUCAAUCUUCUUCUUCAUGUUUGUAGCAUAGUUAUGUGCGAGCUUGUGCAACUGUUAAUUCUCAUGCUUAAGCCCUCUAAUCUCCUAUUUGAGACUCAUCACUUCAGCCGCCAAUGAUUCAACUUGACGGGUUUGGACAAAUAGGCGUUGGGCUAUAUUAGAUACGGAACCUGCGCACUGUACACUGAGAACCAGAGAAUCUUUAACAGCCAACUCAUCAGACCGUUUGGCAAGUAGUCUGUUAUCUUUGGGAGUGACAAGGUUCCUGGCCACCAUCGCAGCUGUUAUAUCAUUCUUCAUCACCGAAUCCCCAACGGUAAAGGGACCAGUAGGGGAUAUGAAGGAUGGGCGCCAUAUGUUGUCUGGAGAAGGCGGCACUGCCUCUUCAACAAGGUUCAAGUCAAAACGACGGUCGGAGGGGCCAGACAUUUUCAGAGGUGUUAAAGAAAGAAGGUCGGACAAGUCAAGAUCGUAGAAGUGCAAGAAAUGAGAUUCUACAGGCAGAAAUUCAAGUGUGCUUUGAACAUCUUGCGUACCUCUAUAAAAAUCAGCACUCGAUGGGAUUUCAGAUAUCGAAGAGGUGAGUUCAGAAAUCGAAGAGGCCAACUCAAAAAUCAAAGAGGCGCUAGCUUUCUCAAAAGUUGGGCUUGCUUAGAAACCACGGCCAAUCUUCUUUUCUAGAUUUGUCCGCACUUGUCACAUGUAACCUCUGCACUCGACGGGAUUUCAGAGAUCGAAGAGGCAAUUCCAGAUAUCGGAGAAGCAUCUGCUUUUCCAAACGUGUUAGCAUAUGUCACAUGCAAAGUAAGCUUUGCGGAAAUCAUGGGCAGUUUGUCGAAGCGCCGAUUCCAACCAUCUGCUUUUCCAAACGUAUCAGCAUCUGUCACAUACAGAGUCACUUUGCGAAAAUCACGGGCAGUUUGUCGGAGUGUUUUUCCAGACGUGUCAACAUCUGUCACAUGCAGAGUCAGCUUUGCGGAAAUCACGGGCAGUUUGUCGAAGCGCCGAUUCCAGAUAUCGAAGAGCCACUUGCUUUUCCAGAUGUGUCAGCGCCUGUCACAUGCACAGUCAGCUUUGCGAAAAUUACGGGCAAUCUGUCGAAGAUCUCUUGUGAAGUAGAAAACACAUGAAGUUUACUAUUAAAUCAUCCAACGGUUGCUGACAAGAGUGAAAGAAUAGUACCGGUUAUUAAUUCCUAUAAAUAUCACCCUUCACCCUCCAUUGCAAGGCAAACAUACAUAACUCUUCUUCUUCUCCGAGAAUGCCUUUCCAACAAACCCUCUCGAGUCACUCAGUGUUCCUUAUUCCUUGGGGUACCUCUGCAAACAACUCAUCCAAAGCAAAAGUAUUUCAUAUCAUGAAGGUUGAAAGCAAGAGUAUCUCAUAUCAUGCUUUCUCCCUGUCCUUCUCCUUGUCGUUGUUUUGGGACAAUGAGAAAGAGAACAAUCAGCCAGCACUUGGUAUCAAUCUUCCGAUCUGGAACUGACUGCCUGGAACCCCUUCCUAAUUGCUUACCUAGCCUUGCUCUCGAGUACUCAUCUUCAUCAUUUUAUGCUUCCUCUUCGUCUACCACAUCUGCCUGGGGAACAUAUAAGGGAAGUGAAAAUGAUACCUUGAAGCAUGUGGAGACAAUUUUCCAAUUCAUCCUCAGCUAGGGACAAGGAGAAAGAAAGCAAGAGGUGGGCACUUGGAAAGAUUAAAGAAAGAAACAGACCAACACCUCUACCUCGUGCCUGUUUGCCGUGCAGAAGAAACAAGCAAAGAAGAAUGCAGACUGCACAAUCAAAUUAACCCAGCAAAAGGAGUCUGAAUUGAAACCAAGGAACUCUCAUAUUCCUCGCUCAGAAUUCCAAACCAGUUCGAGAUCAAAGCUGUGGAAAGACAACAAGAUCAUCUAUCUCCAAAACCAGAUUUGCGUUCUUAAACUCUACUCUGUCUAGUUUUUACUUUGCCAUACUUGUCAUGUUUAUUCGUUGUUUGUUUGUUUGCUUGUUUUUUGUGUGAGUUUAUGUUUGAAACAUUGGGGACAAUGUUUGAUUUAAGUGUGUGAAGGGGGGUAACCAUUGUUUUGCAUGAAAUUCGUAGGAGUUUAUCACCCAUUACUUCUAGUGUUGUUCCUUGUUAUUUUAAGUGUUUUUAAGCUGUUUUGAAGUGUUUCAGUGUGUUUUGACUUAAAAAUCCAAAAAUCUCAUAAAAAUUUGAAAAAUUGUUUUGAAAAACCCAGAAAGAGUUGUUUUUGUAUGUUUAUUUGUGUCUUAGGAUACCUUCCAACACAAUGAUGAGGAUUUGAUUUUUAAUUACAUGACUGUUAAAGAGAGUUAUAAACAUGGAUGAAAAUUUGAUUUACUCUUUGGUGUAUGCUUGGUUGUGGUUAUAAUUUAUGAAUUCACAUGCAAUCAUAAAGGAAAAAUCAGUUUUGUAACAUGCUUGAAAGAAGGAACUCAAAUGUACGUUACAACCUUGUGAGACUUGAGCCUAAACGUUUAUUUGGAGAGUUAAUAAUAUGUGCAUCAUUGUUUUCUAAAGUCGUUGCAUGAUCUUAUUAUUCUUUGCUUGGUUGCUACUUAGAAGGCGUUUCAUCAUUUAAUUCCAAAUGCUAAAAAUCAUGCCAAUUUCAUUCAAAGCAUGCUAUUGAUUUGCAUAAUACAUAUUCAAGAUGAAGUUGUGUAGUGACCACCACAGCCAAAUUGCCGUGCCCUAUUUCAUUAUGUGUUUAAGUUUAACCACGUUGAGCCUUGUGUAACCUAUGUUCUUUGUUAACCCACACUAUCCUCACCUAGCCUAGAUUAGGACCAUCCAUACCCUUGUUCUUGAAGCAUAGUAAAACAUAAUUUAGAAGGAAUUCCUUUUGUUGAACUUUUGCAGAAAAACAAGUGUGGGGGAAGUGAUUCUUGUGUGUGUGUGUGCGCGCCAAAGUCCUUAAUAAGGCACGGGUAGAAAAGAAAAAGAAAAAAAAAAGAAACAUUCGUGGAAAAUAGAAUGAAAAGAAGAAAAGUUGUAAAAAAGAGCUCUAAAGUGUUGUUUGUUGAAGAAAGGGUCCAAAACAUGGAAUUCGGCCCUAAGUGUUGCUUGAAUCUUCCCGUUGUGUUUAAAAGUUAAUUUCUGCAUUAUUAAGUGAAUUCCAAGCAUCUAUUUCAUUACUUUGCUUACUAUUGCUUUCAAAACGUUUUUUAUCCUUAUCCUUUUUUUGUUAGCCAUUACCCUUAAACCCCGUUACAACCCUUAACUUCAUCUUGAGUGUUAUGCGUUUCAAUUUGUGGAGUUCGAAAUUGGUAUGAGCAUAUGGUGUCACUGGUUCUCGCAUCUAAGUAGUAGCAUUCCAUUCAUGAGAUCAUAUCUAAACAUGCUUAAUAACUCUAGAAAAUUGCUUUCUUUGUUAUAACAUAUGUGAGUCCUAGUCUUUCAUGUUUACAUCAAUCUUCUCACAUAUACCUAGUCUAAGGAGUGUAGUCAGAAAUUCUUGUGUGAAAAUAAGAGUGUAUCUAGUAAGGAAUUGAGGAAAUUCUCUAAGGCAUGUUACUAUAUUCAAAAUGUUGUUUUAAUUGAUUAAAUGUGAGCUAGUGAAUGGUGACUAUGAUUAAGUAUGCUCGAGGGUAAGGAAUGCUUAAAUCUAUGUAAGUGGUGAUCUUUGGCAUGUCAUGUUUCAUUGAAAAUCCCUGAGGCAAAUGUUGGAAGGUUCGGUUAUGUUUUGUUUGUUUUGUUUCGUUUUGUUUCUUUUAUUUUGCUCAAGGACUAGCAAAAGCUAAGUGUGGGGGAAUUUGAUAGGAGCAUAUUUAUGUGACUUAGUUAGCUCGUUCUUGUGCAUUCAUGUUGUUAUUUCUUAGUUAAUUAUGUAUUUUAAGCUAUUUUCGUGUGUUUGUAGGUCCUAAUAACAAAGUUGGCAAGAAAGUGCAUUUUGGUGCAUUUUGGUGCAUUUUGGAGCAUUUUUUUAGCCAAGAUUGCAUAGUGCAAGUAUGGAGACAUGAGGAUGGAUGUUUUUGAAGAUUAGAAGGUUAGAAAUCAGCAUGUGUGUGUGUAAGUGUAUUGACCUACAACCACAAACAUCAUAGCUGCCAUGUGAUGACAGAAAAUGUGUUGAUUGCUAGUUAAAAUAAUGAAGAUGAACAAGGCACAUGGAAGAAACAUGGACAUCACACACACAACAAGAAAGGCACGGCAUGGACAGUUGGUAUGGGCAGAAAAUGGGUGGAUUGUUGGCUGAAAUAAUGAAGAACAUGUGGGUGCAAAUGCAAAGGAAAAACACACACACAUGGGCAAAGGAAAGACACACACAUGGGCAAAGAGAAACACACGGCAUGGACAGCUUGGAGGGCAUGAAAAUGGGUGGAUUUGUGGCUGAAAUGAUGAAGAACAUGUGUGUGCAUUUGUAAAGGGAAACAUGGACAGCCACAUUCACACAUUCAUUCCCACAUUCACUUACACAAAUCAGCCAUUUUUCCCUUCCCCUUGCCGUGACCUACACAUUCAUCCGCCCACUACACCCAUUACAUCCACUCAUUACCACAACACUCACCUACUACACCCAUUACAUCCACUCAUUACAACUCCAUACACUCCUCUCCCUAGCCUAUAAAUACAUCUAUCCUUCACCAUAAUUUUGGGGAUCCAUCCAAGAAGCUACAUUCACAAACACUUUCAUCCCUUUCCUUGCCGUGACCUCCAUCCAUUCAUCUAGUCACACUACAUCUCACCAAUCCAUACACUUUCAUCUCUUUGCCGUGACCUCCAUCCAUUCAUCUAGCCAUACUACAUCUCACCAAUCCAUACACUUACACUUUCAUUCCUUGGCCGUGAGCACUAUCCAUUUCAUCCAUAUAUUCCCACAAUUCACAAACCAUUCUACACAUCCAUAAAUCCCAAAACACAAUUCCAUACAUUCCCUUCCCUUGGCCGAGACAUUCACCAAUCCUAAAUACAUUCAUAACCUUUCCAUAUAUCCAUACACAUCCUUAGACACUUGUGCUGCAACAAGGUGGUGAAAACGAAGGUCCUUGGCGUUUCAAGCUUGAAACUUUGGAGCAUUUUAGGUGUACUUCGUUCUUGCUUUCAAUGUCUACUUUGUUAUUUUCUGAUUUUGUUGCAAUUAUGAGUAGCUAAACCCUUAUUUAGUGAGGGGGAAGUUUGAAGCCAUGAACAUGCUUGAGAUAUGAAUUGAUUUCUUCCAAUUGUGAUUUGAUAAGUUGUGAUUGCAAUUCAAUUAUCUAUUUUAUUCAUAACUGAUUCUUGUAUGUAUAUUAAGGAUGCAUACUUAGUUUUCAUUCAUGAAUUAGAUGCUAGAAUAUAAAUGAGUUUCACCUAAUUGUUACAAGUUUAUAUUCAUGAGUAGUAAAGGUUGCUUGUCACAAUCGCGUUAAUUGAAUUCUUGGCAAACGUAUCAUGCAUUCAUAGUUACAAUUGUCUCGUCAACACUUAUGAUUUUCACUAAACGUAACGAUCUCUGAUUGUAUCUCUAUUAUGUAUUCAUAUAGGGGACUUUUAGAGAAUGAUUUGGGUUGUCGCAUGCAUUCAUCCAAUUCAAUGAGUAAAGGAAAAUCUGAGGGUUAAUUUGUGCAUCACGGUUAAUAUGGGGUGUUGAGCAUCAUAGUUUAUUGAAAAGCAAUUGGAAAUCAAUUCAUGUACAAGUGUGUCAUGUGUGAAGAACGGACCUCUAACUAAUCCAUCCGUUUCUUAAUUUCGCUUUACAAUCUGUCUAAUUUUAUAAGUUGUUUGUUUGUUUCGAAUUCGUCAGAACCAAAAUCCCCCUUUUACUUUGUUGUUUCAAAGUGUUAAAUUUCUAUUUCGUUAGUGUUUUUGAGUGUUUUGAUUCAAACCAAUACACUAAAUUCAUCCAAAGUUGUGUUAGAGUCAAAUCUGCCCAGUAAGUGUUUUUAGGCAAUUUUGAUUGUAUUUAAAUUGUUUUGCGUCUUUAGAACCUAUUUUGAGUCCCUUGAGUCUAUUCAAACGUUUUUAACUUUGUUUUUAUGUUUUUGAGUAAGUUUAGAGGUUUUAGCAAGCCCUCUUGAUCUCUGGUUUAGAACGAUCCCUACUUGCAUUUAUACUACAAUUUGAUAACAAAAGAGUUUAAUUUGAGUGCUUAACUUUCAUGGCACCAGGACCCAAUUGAGAAAUCAACCUUGGGUUAAAAGUUAAGGCCUUCCAACCCAAAAUAUCCUUUUUUCAGCCAAACUUUGCAUUUUAGGCCCAAACAGAAACAAAUAAAUACACUUCAUGGUUUGAAAUCUAUGCUACUGGUUUAUUUAUACUAAAAAAUUGCCACCUCUAACAUGUGGAUACAUGUCUAAGCAUUUUAUCUAACAAUGUUGUGUUUUAAUAAAAGGGAGACCUCAUUUUUGUAAUUUACAUUUAGGGCUCAUUUGGAAGUGUUUUUGAAAUUACUGAAACCACUUUUAAAGAAAAUAUUUUUAUGUUCCAAAAGCACUUGAAAUUGUGUUUUUGCAUGAAUAACUUCAAAUACUAUUUCAGAAUUCAUUUGCAUAUUUACCAAUGAUUGGCUUCUAAAAUAUUUUCACAUAAAGCACUUCACCCAUUUUUAAAACAUUUCUAUACAUGACCUUAAACUAUCUCUCUAAUUAAAGUAGGGUCCACAACACAGUAGUAGAUCUCAUCUCUACUGGAUAUAUAGUUUAGAUAUGGAUUACAAUAUGUGAUAUCCUAGUAUUUUCCUUAAUAAACUAGCUAACGGCCCACAUAGUAUAGAGGUGUACUAUCUACACAUCCAUUUUUACUUUUUACACACUUUUCUAAUUUAUAGUCCAUUAAGAUUAAUGUUUGUUUUAGUUUUCUUUAUAAAUAGGAUGUGAUUAGUAACUUUGUAGAAUAAUAAGUCGGAUAAAAUGUGAGGAAAACUGAUAAAAAAGGCUUGAAAACUUUGAGUUUUAAAUAUAAGAAC